rnacentral:lncRNA from 1 species
CCUUUUCUCUGGGCUUAACUCCCUUGAACUUUGUCAACUUGUAGACAAAUGUCUUGGUGGAUUGAGCUUUGUCUAGGCUCACAGCCAAGGCCGUCUGAAUUAGCUGGCGUGGACUUUGGUUGAUUGAAGUGGCGUAAAGGGAGAGGGAUUGCACACACAAGGCAGGGUAUGUUGUGGCGGUGCAUGAGGCCUUGAUGAAAUUUGUAGCGCUUGCACUUGAACUUGUGGUGCUAGCAGAAGUUGCAGUGCCAGCAAUGUACAGAAUUGAGAGUAGCAGCAAGACGAGGCUAGA